UAGCGUUGAAGCAGUUGAUGCAGAUGCUGCUGCAGGUUGUCGGGUCGCAGGGUAUCAGGCGUGUCCUCCAAUCGCUCCAGGGUAGAUUCAUUGCAGGACAGAUCCUCAACAGAUGCCACCGGAAGUUCUGACCCUCUUUGAGCACUCUCUGUUCGCCGACCCAACCUGGGGCUGUCCAUGUCCUCCUGUAAAGCUGAAAAACCUGCACAGGUGUGUGAUGACUGGUCCUGACUGGACUGGAUGAUCUUUGUUUCAAUGAGAUGCACAAUGUCCAUACGAUUUAUUUUUCUUUAUGAGUGCAUGGCUUUGGUCUUGUAGUGAAUUGGGAUUCUCAUUUCUUAUCUGGCCGAUCUGCUCCUCACUGAAUUCAAGCUCUCGAGCCAAUUCUGUUUGAACAAACACACUGGAUAACAUGAAGAUGGACCAUGCAUUUAAUUCAUGACUGGAAAGUCUCUUUAUGAAACUAUGAUGCAGUAUGUCGUAGUCAUCUCACAUUUACAAAAAUAAACAGUAGGUAUGACAGCCUGUCUCAUAACUGGCCUUCUGUAACAAAAGCAACCAUUUUUUAAAGCAAAGUGGAAUAUGUUGGUAACAGUGAUGCAUAGUAUAUAAUAGUCCUUCUUUAAUAAUACAAGUAAAGUGGAUCAGUUUGGUAUCACUGGGUUACACUUGCAAUGUAUAAAAUGUAUAUAUUAUAUACAAUAUAGUUUCCCCUAAGUACUACAUAGUGAGGUUUCAAUAACUUCUGUAUACAAAAAUACUUUCUAGAAAAAAACAUGCUUUCAAGGAGUGGUCUUACA